CGCCCACUCGGCCCUGCCCCGCCCGCGGCCGGAGGCGCUACUGGGGCCGCUCGCCGAGGGGAGCCCGGCUGCGGGACAUAACGAGAUGUGAGCUGUAUGCAAGAUACCAUAGGAUGUGGAAGAGCACCGCAGCACAGGCCUGAGACAAGGACAGAGAAGCAAAGUCUUCAGAACAGGAAGUUUACAACUGCUGUUCAGUCUUGAAGAGAAAUUCUGUUGCCAAUACUUUUUUUCAAGUGAGCACUUCAAAACCAAACAAAAAUGCUGCUCCCUUGUAAAACAGUCAGGGAGUCAAUUAUCAGGAGAGUGACAUAUCAAUUACUACGAAAUUCACCAUCUUUCAUGAAGAUGUAAUUAAUUUACAUGUGCUUGUAAAUUGUUUGGAGCUGUUAUAUUUAUACAUUGUCUACCACGGUAUCACCAAGGUGUUAAGGUCUCUGUGUGAUCACAAUACCAAAAAACCAAUAAUCAGUUGUGUUUGUCUCCAUAGUGGCUGUAUUCCCUCAUGUAUGAGAAAGUAUUACUGGCUUUGUGAAGGCCCUGCUGAAGGCUCUGGGAAGGCUGCUGUAGUAUAAGACUCAGAAAUUCAGUGUGAUUGUAGAAUUUGUUAAUUUAAACUGCAAUUACACUUUUUAGCCUUAGCAAGGAAGAUCUGAUGUUACUGACCUACCUCUUCCUCACUGUUUUUGUGGGGGUAUUUUUCUCCUUUAACUAUUGUUAUUCCAUUCUGAAAGAAGUAUCUGUUCAUCAUUCAUCCCCAAAGCAUAUGUUCUGAAAUUUGCUUAAGUUAUCAGGUGUUAUUUCUGCUAACUUUAGGAUAUUUUGAAUCAAAUCCCCAUUUUAACUUAUCAGAAAAUGGCCACUCAUGAUUAGUUUCAAAGUGGCUUGAUGACUCAGGCAGAUAUUCAGUGCAUUACACAUUCUGCAUGACCCUUUAUCUGUGUACACAUUGUGUAUGUAAUUUAUAUGAAGCUUGUAAUUUUAUUUAUUUAUUUAUUUAUUUUGUGGUGCUGAAUAAACUCCAGCUCAGUUGCACUGAGCAGUAUGGAAAUGUUAGUCUACAGGUGAAAUCAGUCAGUAGAAAUGUGGUUCUCAAAAAGUUUUGGUGUUCAUCCCCUGUGUAUGACCUACCUGGCUUAAGGAUUUCUGGAGCCUAGAAGCUGUAUCUUGACCAUUGCUUUUAUCGUCACCCAUGGCCCCUAUUACCCAAUUAAUUCUCCCAAAGCCUCUCCCACACACCUAAACUCUUUGAUCCUUUUGCAAUCAAUUCCACAUUUCAUGAUGAGUUGUACGAAAAUAAAUAAAUAAAUACAAUUUCUUUCACUUCAGACCUGGCAAUUUGGGUGCACCUUAACUUUGGUAUUGUGAGAAGUAGAGCUUAAUCACUGUUCCUGCUCCUUUUAGUCUCUAUUUAAGAAUUUACAGACCUUUCAUACAUUCCCUUUCAGUGGUCUCUACAUCAAGUUAAAACGCUAGUCUCCCCUCAUAUUGAAGCCAUUUCAUAUGGCUGAUCACCUUUCCUGCCCUCCUCUGUUCUUUUAGUAGUUCUACUACAUCAUUUUAGAGAUGGUAGUAAUGGGUUUCUGCAAUGCAUUAGAGGUGUAUGUGCGACAGGGAUUUGUUCAGCGGUACCAUGAUGUUCUGUCUAUUGUUUCCAUAUAGUUUCUAAAAUGCUGCUUGCUUUUAUGGCUGCUGCUGAACAGGGAAUAAGCUCUGACUCCAGGCACAGUUUAUUGAAUGGCAACAGCUAAUUUAAAACCUGUCACUGUAUCUGUAGAUAUGCAGAGUAAUUCUGGAAACUUCACUCAAAGUAAUGUGGUGAAUGGAGAU